rnacentral:lncRNA from 9 species
CGGGCGGUCGCCAUCUCCAGGCGGCGGCGGGAGCCAGCGCGCCGAGCGGUGGGUGGUGUCUCCGUGGCGGUGCGAUCCCGCGGUGACUUUGUUUGGAAUUAUCCGACCAUACCCAUAUAUAGUAAUUUCAUCUUAAAAGAAGAAUGCGUAAGAUGGAGAAGAUAGUUACAUGUAUUGUAAGUAGACUUCUUAGGUAAUAUCACUUAAAUAUUUUAAAAAUCUGAUGUUUCUUCUUGGAAGGAUUAUUGGUUAUUCUGUUACUGCAUGCCCUAUUGUAAUUGCUUAAUU